GCACUGCUGAGGAGUCCCAUACUAGGACGAAACGGCUGUCCAGUAC
rnacentral:hammerhead_ribozyme from 1 species